rnacentral:piRNA from 1 species
AGGGUGCAUUGCAUUGAAUCCAGCCCUGCCA